ensembl:lncRNA
AUCUCUGUUAAAAACCACUAGUAACUUACCACCAAUCACGCUUACACUAAAACCCAAACUUCUUAUGGUGCCAGAUGCACGUUAGUGGUUCUUACACUUUUUGGUCUCAGGAAUCAUACUCUUGAAUAUUUCAAGCCUAAAGAACUGUUGUUUAUAGAGGUUAUAUCUAUUGAGAUGUACUGUAAUAGAAAUGAAAACAAAGAACAUUUAAGAAUAUUUAUUUGUUAAAAAAUAAGUGUUUUGAUUGAAGCAUAUCAAGAAAAUCUGGCCACACAGACAUAUAGUUGGAAAAGGAGGGAGUAUUUUAAUAGUCUUUUCAGACAGUGGUGGAUAUUGUAUGAUACCUCAUCAAAAUUUGAAUAGUAGUUUCUUAAAGGUCAAUUCCCAUGUGGAAUCUAAAACCAUCAGUAAACUUUUUGUACUCAUUUUAUACUAAAAUCCAUUAGCUUGUCUCAUACUUUGAGUGGACCUUUUAUUCAUGCAUGAUUCUGUAAUCUAAUUGCAUUGUUUUUAGAAAACAUUGGUUCACUGAGUUGUGCAAAUCUUUAAAAUGUUGGCAUGUUUCAUUAUAUCAUACCAAAAAGUUACAUUCUUAGGAAGCUGUCGGCCUCGUGGUGGCAUAAUCAAGAUUUCCAAAAUUCUAACUUUGGCUUGAAAAUUUGAAUUUUUUCAUUGGCAAUAAAUACCAGUUUUCCUUGAAGUGACAGGCACAUUUCAUUCAUUUUUAAGAAAAUGUCUGCUAAAUACUUAAGUGUGAAUAAGCAUACUUUGCAUAUUUUCUCAAGUGCAGUGGUGUUCCAUGAAAAGAGUGGCUUGGUUCAGCUCUCACACAGUGCUCGAGUAUUUUUUUUUCUUCAAGGCAGCCAUUCUGUUUUAGUUUCACCAGAAAUGAUUUAAGCAUACUUCCCAUUUCAUCACAUAGAACAUUACGAGAAUGUGUACUCAAGGAUUGAGAUUUAAUAAAAUCAACAGUUUUACUGCUGCAUCUCCUACAAAUUCUCCAUGAAAUAGUUACCUUGAUUAUGGCAAAGGAAUGCACAGUAGCUAAUCUGCAUUAACUCAAGCUGUUUUGUCACUGUCCCUAAACCCCAGGAGUGACUGGGGAGGCAUGGGGAAAGCAAGGCCACUAGACAGGUCUGGAAAAAAGUCCCUGGCUGUGGAUGGGUCCUAAUAUGUUUGAGGCUCCCUUUCCGUUUGGAGCAGAUGCUUCCUCCUAUGUGGGCUUUUGAUUAUGCAUCACCACUGCCAGAUAUCACUGGAGGUUUCAGAGGGUUUCAGUCACUGCACCUACAUCAAGUACUUUCUGAACCAGUGUGGUUUAAAACUGCUUAAAAUACUUACUACUUUAAAAUCAUACGCACUUUAACCAACAGGCGCAGAGCAUUGUUUACUUCUUCCCACCUUCCAAAAAAUAACUUUUAUAACCAGCUGAACUUGUUCGUUAUUUAGAAAUUCAAGCCAUAUUUUUUGCCAACACAUAAUUUAAACCAUAGCUUUUUAAAGGUUUGUUUACAUCAUCAACCGUAGUAAUGAUUUUAAGUCAUUGCUGGUGCUAAGUUUCCUUUCAUAAACACACCAGCUCAGCAAGAGACUUUCCAGCCAUGGCUAGGAUAUGCAGCUCUUCCACUAGUAAUACUACCAUUUCCAUUUAUUCUUAACUCCAAUUAAUGUAUGAUAAUAUAUACACGGAAGUUGAGAAUUUUUAAUUUUUGGGGAGGGAAUCGAACGCUCCAGAUCUUUGUAAAGUGUGUCACCUAACACUUCGGAUCUUAGUAAAGUAUGUCAUAGAGAUGCACACGUGCUAAGAAGUGCAUUUUUCUGCUUGUGCUCUGCAGUAAUCUGAAAUUUGACAUUGCCCAUCUCUAGCAGUGUGGUUUGUUUUCAGAGUAGGGGUGAGUUUCUAGACUGUUCAUAUACUUAGCUCUGUACACACAAGCCUCUUUUAUUACUGUUUGAAGAUUGGGUGUGUCUAAUGUAGUGGAAAUUUAUCCAUUCAGCGUUACGUACAGACGAAACACAUUUCAAAGCCACAUAUAAAAGUCUUUUUAAUUAUCCAUUUUUAAAAGAUUAUUCAUAUGACUGCUUUCUUCCUUUCAUGUGAAUUGCUGAGAAUUUAUUAUCCUUUCUAGUUCAUUAAAUCAACGCCAGACCAUAAAUUGAGACUAGUUGAUAAAGGCAGCUUUGUCCUGGUAACUGAGCCUUGCUCUUGUUAACCCACACUUCUCUUUGAGUAGGUGAAUAUCUGUAUUACAUGAAAUUUUAAUUUGUAAUGAAGCAAAGCCUUGCUCUGAGCACAUGUGGGGACCUGCUUUAAGUGGAGCUUUAGUAUUUUCAGUUGGACUAGCUGCUUGAUGAAUGCAGUGUUAUAAAACCACAUUUGUGCUGAGACAUGUUUGGAAGCCUCAAGACACAGCUCACAGAUGUCUCGGCUUUUUACCACUGUACUUUGUGUAAACCUGCAUCUUAGACAGCUGGAAACUUCAUAACCCUCUGUUUCAGACCAUUUUAGCCCAGGACCAGCUACAUUCCACAGUGCACUCUGCAGUUCUAAAUGGACUUGGAAGUGCUAGACCUACUUCAUCCUUCUAAUUAAGUAAUGAUUGAAAGCCAGGUGUGGGUGUGGUGCUGUUCACUCUUGUUGGGAGGAAUGGAGAGAAGGCCCUCUGAGAGCUCCUCUAAUCAGACCACCUAAGGCAGGACAGAAUGUGAGAAAGUGUGGCAUUCAGAGUCUGAGUCUCCUUGCUGAGUUGUCUGUGGACUGCAUUGUGAAGGAUGGAUUGGCCUCCGAAAGGUGGGCUGUGAGGAAGAAAGGGCAGUGAGCCUGGCAGGUAGCAGUGAGCUCAUUUCAGUUUGGGAGUAGUCUUGUUUGCAAGGUAAGUGAAUGAAGGGGUCAAGUCACGGAGCUUGGAGGCAUUACAAACUGUGUGCUUCCUCUCACUGAGAAAGAUGAGACAGAAUUUCUUGGUUUUUUUUUUUUCCUCCCCCGGGUAGGUGAUUGGUUUGUGCUCCCAGCAUGCUGGUGCAAUAGGGGAAACCAUGGUACGUACCAUCAGUGUUUCACAUGGUAACCUCUUUAGGAGUGGCGCAGAGUUAGUUGCUUAAGAAUUGGCCAGAUUCCACUUAAUAAGUAAGUAUCCCUUUUCAUUUCCUUUGUAUGCCAUAUUUAAAAUUUUAUGAGAGUGUUACAUAAGGAAAUACUGACAUCAACCAGGUCUCCUGUACUGAACUCAGUGGAUCAUGUCAUCCCUUAGCUGACUAGUCAAAUGCUUAUGCAGAGACUUGACUUGUAUACAGUUUGAUGACCAUUUUCAGAGUGUCAAGCUCUUCCUUGAUUUGGUUCCUGUAAUCAUCCUCACUGUGGAUUUUGUAUGAGUCCAUGCAGUUCUUGACUAUGGUGAAAUGGUUGCUUCUCUGUGUGAUACUUAAAAAAAAAGGAAGCACUAACAGUCGCAUUGCCACUUUUUGAAGAUGUAUUUUGACUUGAAUGCUUUUAAUCUGUUCAUUAUAGUUAAGAUACACAUGUAAAUACUGUCUGUUUAUUGUUAUGUGAUGCAGAGAUUGGGGAAACUCAAAUUUGAGAACAUAUUUUCAUGAAUAGUCUUGACUUUCCAAGUGAGACUUACUUUAACAUUAUUUUAUGAGCAAUUAAAUUAUUUUAUUCUAUACCACUGGGCAGUUCAAGUACUGACCUACUUAUACAGUAGCUCUUAAUUAAAAAAAAAAAGAAUUUGCUGAAUAAGUUAUUAGAAUACAGAAUAGAAUUUUUAUUUGAAAUACCCUACUUUCUUAGUUCUGACACAUGCAAUGAAACUGUGUAUAGAAACCUCUCUCAAUUUUUAUUCUGAUUAGAACAGCAUGAGAAAUGGAAGCAGCAAGGAGUACUUUAUCAGUGCCAAAUUAUUAUUUCCUGCAGCAAAAGGUGGCAGUCUUUGAAUGUUACUUGGUGUUGAUACAGUUAAAGUUAUGCCAACAUUGAUGGUAUAGUGUGCCUUUAUAGUGUGGCCUUCACCACAGUCAUGGGGAAUUGUAGACUUUAAAGCUAAUUAAAAGUAGCAUAAAACAUAUUUUUUAAAUUUGGAUUUAAAACAGAACAGAUUUUACUUUGAGUUUUUGCCAGAAGCUGGUUUCUAUAAUAACCCUUCGUCACAGGCUUUUAAUUCUACUUGGAUUUUUUGUUAGAUGAUAUUUUUGAGACUCAGUUUAGAAAUGUAUAUGCUUUUUUUCAUUUUUUCAUUUGGUGGUCUCCCGACAAGAUAUGCUAAAAAUUGGUCAUGAAGAUGCCUUGUAAUUUAAAAUGUAUUUGUGUUUUACUGAGGCACAGCUUCUUUCAGUGUAACAGAUCUCUUAUUUUUAGAUCUUGUAUUGUUUGCUUAAAAUAGCUAUAUUUCAUUCUAGUCACAUACGUUGCAGAAACGAAGGAAAGCAUUUCAUUAAAUAGUAAUUAAUUGAGGCCCUUGUGUAUUGUGAUGGUCAAAACACAGAAUUGGUAACUAGUCUUUUCUAUAUGGUUUUACUAAAACAGAAAUGAAAGGCUUUUUUUUGUUUUGUUUUUGUUUUUGUUUUUUUCUGGCCUUGCCUUUACUAAAACUAUCCAGCUCAUUUUACAGUGCUGCAGUUUUUUAAUCUAAAGUAAUGUGUACUGUUCCUUCAGGUGUUUGGGUGGUAGUUCAUUGAGGGAAAGUAGAUCAGUGCUCCUGUCUACGCAUCCUUGAGUGUCUGAGAGCGAAAGCAUGUUGAGGUGACUUGUGUUCAGAGAUCUUGUUUUAUCUUGCAGAGCUUUUCUGCUAAGUUGUGAACAUUAAGGAAUUUGGUUUGUGACAUGUUACCUGUUAAUAAUCAGUACUGAUACACAAUAUGUGAUGGUUUGAGGUUGUCUGGAUUUUUCUUCCUGUUCCAUGUGCUCAUUGGAAAAGGGUGACUUUGACAAAUAAAGCCAGACAUUCUUUGCUGUAGUACAUAAGUGAAGAGGACCUUUAGAUUUAAGUGAUCUGAUUGUGGAGAUGUUUUGGGUUAUUAUCUCCCUAAUACUAGAAAAAAUAUACCAGCCAAAGUAAAAAAAGUAUUUUCUUUGACUAGAAACACAUUAUUUUCCUCCUCUGUCCACUCAAGCCAACAACCAACCUAGAGAAGUCCGAAACAGUGGUUGAGCCGAGUCAUUCAAACUAGCAUUUAUAGUAGGAUUUAUGUUCCCUGUUGGAUAGGAACAGCCUCCCUUCAGGCCUUCUCAGAAGAUACCUCCUGAGGCCUGAUUAUACUUUUCUUGGAUAAAUUGUUUUCAGGUACCUAGGAGAAAGUCAUACAUAUAAUGAGGUCACUGUAAUAUGAUAAUAACAUUUCUCCCUCUUAAAACUAACAUUUCAAAAUAAAGUCUAUUUGUUUGAAAAUUAUUAAUAACUUCAAAAAAGUCAUUUAGCUCCAGGUUUAACCUGUGCAUAACAUUGUUGUAAGUUAAUAAACCUUUUUUUUUUUUCUUUUUAGCCUGCUGGGCAGCAUAUGGAGUUCCUGAGUCAGGGCUCAGAUGCAAGCUGCAGUUGCAACCUAAGCCACAGCUGUGGCAAUGCUGAUUCCUUAACCCACUGUGCUGGGUGGGGGAUUGAACCUGUGUUUCAGGGCUCCCAAGAUGCUGCCGAUCCCAUCGUGCCACAGCAGGAACUCCAUAAGUUAAUAAAUCUUUGGAGUUGCUGUCGUGGCGCAGCAGAAACGAAUCUGACUAGGCAUGAGGUUGUGGCUUCGAUCCCUGGCCUUGCUUAGCGGGUUAAGGAUCCGGAGUUGCCAUGAGCUGUGGUGUAGGACCUGGCAUUGCUGUGGAUGGGCAUAGGCUGGCAGUUGUAGCUCCAAUUAUAUCCCUAGCCUGGGAACUUCCAUAUGCCGUGAGUGCGGCCCUAAAAAGACAAAAAAAAAAAAAAAAAA